rnacentral:misc_RNA from 1 species
GAAGGAAAGUUGUGUGGGGUACAUUAUUCAUCUUCCAAGAUGGAAAUGUAUAAGAAGCCCCCAAAACUGUGAAGAAAUAGUGGGUCCAAAAGUAAUUCCCAACGUAAGUGAAAAUUGCUAUCCAGAGAUUAGCCUUCACCCAAUAACGAUCCUUCCAAGCAAGGUUCCUGUCAGCCUUCCCGACAAAUAUCAUGGGUACAAUUAAAGCAGGAAGUGCAGAAAUAAGCCCCACCAAGAGGUAUUCCCACUCUGUGAAAUCCUCAUAGAGCUUGAAUGGGACCACAAUACCAAGGCACAAGGUGAGCCAAAACGGAGUAUAAAGCAGAAAGAACACUUCACCCCAUCUCUUGCUAGGGUUUUGAGCUAACCACAGACUAGGUGCUGCACUAUUCACUUUAUUGCCUUUCAUUUGUCCUCACACCUCAAUGAGCUUCCUCCUCACUCAAAAAUUUGAACUUGGAGAAAACCCAAGAUUAUUUAUUAGCUAAAAUCACAAACUUAAACUUGCCCAAAACUCAUAAGCAAAUCCAAAUGUGACUAACCUAAA